GAAUUAAAUGGUGCUAAUGGGAGUAAGGGAGAGUCUAUUAAUGCUACUGCUCUCCCAGGUCCAUCUGCGUUGUCAGGGAGCAUUGGCCCUAUAGUUUUUCACGGCCCUCCUGGACUUAUUUGGCUUCAGGGUGACGCGGAAGGAUUUCCUGAUGGUCCUAAAGGUUACAUGGUGAGAAACCAUUCUAUUAUUUGGAUAAUUUUAACCUGGUGUCCGUUCAGUUUGCAUAUAUGUGUGUUUGAUUUAAAACUUUAGGCUGAAAAGGGCACCACUGGUCCACUAGGACCAG